AGCCUCUUCCUGAAAACACAUUUGCCCCGAUCUGAGUUUUCUUUAACUGAACAAACAGAACUAUCAGCUGAAUAAACAGAACUAUCUGUAAGCAUUUUGUCUCCCGACAAAGAAGGCUCACCUAGCUGCUUGGAAAACUAGAAGAAGCUAGACUCUUAGGCUAGCAUGUCUUUGAAAGAGGCUGAUGAUACAAGUUAAGUGUUUUCUGGAUCAGACAAGAGCUCAGCUGAGCCAAACCCUGUUUGCUAUUUCAGCUGACUCUAAUUGAGCACAAUCCUGCCACAGAUAAAAAUGGAAAAACAACAUAGAAAUACUUACUGGUAGUUCAAAGUUCUCAUUCCUUUUGUUCCCAUUUAAUGUGUUAUCUUUGAGUCAGACUAACAUGUUUCCUGCCUGUUUCUGCAAAAAGCCACCAUCAGGCAGGGUUGAUGGAAGAUCACAGGAAGCUAAACUCUUUGUGCGUAGACUCCGAGUAUGGAGAGCUUAUCAUUUUUCUGAAUCUCCUGAUUCCAGUACUAUGACUUCAAUUUUCCUGAUUAAAAAUACUGAUGUCCUGCAGCUAAUGAAAGCCAGUGAUGUAGCUGAGGGUGGCAGAGUCCCAAAUCUGGUUUGACAGAGAAUCCCCUUCACUUGUUUCCAUUGGACUCUCACACUGGAGGAAACCUCCUUUCGACUGAAGGAAAGUCUAAUUUCAAGCUGCAAAGCAUCUACAAUCUACCAGGGCACCAUUAACAGAUCUCAAAAGGCACACGAUCAUUUUUCUUUUCAAAUUACACAAAUUACAUAAUAAGAAAUAACAGAGCUGAUAAUGGACUGAGCAGCCACUGGCAAUGUCGACACCAUCAUGGUCAGUGAACUGGUACAGUUAGUAAUGUCAGUCACUGAGUGUUGCUUUAGCUGGACUCUUUUUAACGAUAAAGAGGUGUCUCUCCAGCUUUGUGCCUAUGUGCAGCCCAUAGUAGAAGACAUUUGCAACCUCCUCUAAGAGCAGGUCAACAGAAGAAAGGAGACUUCAAAAGCCACAAGACUUACUCUGUUAGGGCAAGUGGCAAAGAUUCAGGCUUUCAGCAUCAAAAGGCCCAGAGUUCAACAAAGGGAGGAAUGUUGUGUCUAUAGUAUAAAGGCAAUAAGAGUAUACUGGAUGCUUAUCAUUUCCAUGGUGCUUUGCAGACUCAAAAUGCUCUGCAGAUGUUAAAGCACCUACACAACAAUCCUAUCCCUGUUGUCUACAGGAAGAACACUUGAGGCACAUGAAUGAAGUGGUCUGCCCAGGCUGUAAACCUGGGUGGCUGACAGGGCAAGGAUUAGAUCUCUGCACCUCCAGGCUUUCUAACCCAUGAAUAUCUCUCCAGGCCACUGGCAAAAAUAUGAUUUUAGCAUUUCCCAUGCAUUUCUGUUACCUGUUUUACACGUAAAUGGCACUGUCUAGCCUCGUGGAUAGAUCCCACUAUUGAUGGCUACACACACUGAGAAGAGAAGUUAGGCCACUGGAAAGUGUUCAAGCACAUUUUCAGAAACCAGAAGUGACUGUAAAAUGAAUGGAGCUUCACCAUUACAGCUGAUCCAGUUGCAGGGGUAGGCAGAAGGAAAGAAAGAAGUCCAGGAACUUUACC
ensembl:lncRNA